AUCUGUGGAUCAAAAGGCGGUGGUAUCUGUGCAGCAUCUAAUGAUGACAUCUGCGGAAUAUACGGUGAUGGCAUAUGUGAAACAUAUGGUGACGGCGUAUAUCUCAUAUCUGGCGCCGGAGCUACUCCAUACCAAGACGCACAGGUAUAUGGAUCAACACCAAUCACCACCAAUGUUUCGGAACUUGUUCUCUCUAUCUCCCGCAGUAUCCGAAUCCGUUCGUCCUCAUCAGUCGUAGAUAAAGCACGACGAGCAACCAACACGAGAUCCGACAUAGAAUCAG
rnacentral:lncRNA from 1 species